rnacentral:rRNA from 1 species
AUUGAACGCUGGCGGCAGGCCUAACACGUGCAAGUCGAGCGGAUGAAGGGAGCUUGCUCCUGGAUUCAGCGGCGGACGGGUGAGUAAUGCCUAGGAAUCUGCCUGGUAGUGGGGGAUAACGUCCGGAAACGGGCGCUAAUACCGCAUACGUCCUGAGGGAGAAAGUGGGGGAUCUUCGGACCUCACGCUAUCAGAUGAGCCUAGGUCGGAUUAGCUAGUUGGUGGGGUAAAGGCCUACCAAGGCGACGAUCCGUAACUGGUCUGAGAGGAUGAUCAGUCACACUGGAACUGAGACACGGUCCAGACUCCUACGGGAGGCAGCAGUGGGGAAUAUUGGACAAUGGGCGAAAGCCUGAUCCAGACAUGCCGCGUGUGUGAAGAAGGUCUUCGGAUUGUAAAGCACUUUAAGUUGGGAGGAAGGGCAGUAAGUUAAUACCUUGCUGUUUUGACGUUACCAACAGAAUAAGCACCGGCUAACUUCGUG